rnacentral:rRNA from 1 species
CACGUAGGGCGCGAGCGUUGUCCGGAAUUAUUGGGCGUAAAGAGCUCGUAGGCGGCCUGUUGCGUCCGCUGUGAAAGCCCGGGGCUUAACCCCGGGUCGGCAGUGGAUACGGGCAGGCUAGAGGUAGGUAGGGGAGAAUGGAAUUCCCGGUGUAGCGGUGAAAUGCGCAGAUAUUGGGAGGAACACCGGUGGCGAAGGCGGUUCUCUGGGCCUUACCUGACGCUGAGGAGCGAAAGCGUGGGGAGCGAACAGG